GCUCCAUUUGUGUAGCGGUUAGCACGCCAGGUUCUCAACCUGUCAGGCGGGGUUCAACUCCCCGAUGGAGUAC
rnacentral:tRNA from 7 species